UGGCACCAUGCUGAGUAAAAAGCUGAGGGAAAGUUUGGAAGUAGGCUGGGCAUUGGUCAGCAGGUUUGGGUUUGCACUGUGCAUCAUGUGUUUUGUAUAUUCUAACUGGUGGUGGUAGUGUUAGUAGUAGGAAUAAGACCUUCCCUUCGAUUUCUGUUGUAUGUUUCACUGUCUUUAUGCCAACCCAUUAAUUUUAUUUUUUUUUUCCCCAAUUCUCUCCUCCAUCCCACUGUGGGAUGGCCCCAUGUGGGGGGCAUGUGAGAAAGUGACUGUGUGGUGCUUAGCUACCCACCAGGUUAAACCACAACAUAUAAGCAGCACACCUGCACUCGGUGCACUUUGCUCCUUUUGUUCUUAAGUUUGUUUUGGCACUCCUCAUUCCCACUAUCUCCAGAGGGCUGCACAGAGGAGCACACAUAACACCGCUCCAGGCAUGGCAUUCCCAGCACACCAUGGCCUGUAGCAGCCCCGACUUACCAGUUUCAUUCAAGUUUGGAUUUCGAGAUGAUUUUCACUACCCCAAAGACUGGACUCUGAGCUCAUCACCCUACUCCUGGAGCCGGGGCUGUAAGUUCAGGUGCAUACACCAUGAUUUGGUCUUUCAUAUAUAGUGCAGGGGGGUGGAAAUGGAACUGAUUUCAUCUGCUCAUUCUAGCAGCGUAUUUCAGCUGAUUCAGAGAUGCCAGAAGGUUUAGACACGAUUGAAGAAAGCGGAUGCUUAAACUCUCUUAACCUGUGACGUGAUACUAGUGCCCACUUCUGAUCUUUAAGAUAUGAUAAGCUUGAAAGAAAUAGUGCAGAUCUUCUCAGAUGGGGAAACAGAGCAGGCAGAGGUAAAUGAAAUUGUGCAAAGGCACAAGCCAGAAAAGAGAUGAAGCAAAAAGCAAACCUGGAUAGGCAGUUGCCCUGGCAGCUCGGAUCUCUCUCUUCUCUCCUCAAACCCCUCAUCCUACCACAGUGAUAGAGUUGCAUUUGUUUAGUACUUCACAUGGAAGAAUCGUCUAUUGUCUUCCAAGCCAGGCAAAGUGAACAGGCUGAGUCAGUCCAGGAAUAUUCAAGCCUCCCCAUCUGUGGUAUUGCAGAAUUCCAGGGCAAUUCCACCAGUUGGUGGAGCUUCUGUCUGGGAAAACAGAGCUAUUGUGAACAAAGCAUACUGUACAUAUUUCUAACAUUCAUAAAAGACUGGGUUUGAAUCAUUUGAAUCUUUCUCAAAAUUUCUUCCUUUGGGGCAAAAAUUUCCAAUGCAUGGCCAUGAUCCAAUUAUAGUCAUUUGGAAAAUCUGAGCAUAAGCCAUGCAACCAUGUCAUUAACUAGUUGUGAAAAGAAAAGAUAAAUGUUUGACUGUAAGAG